GUGGGUAAUAAUUUGGCAGGGAGUCGAAAAUGGAAAUAACACUGGCACUUAAACUGACAGUAAUCAAAAAAGCCCAGGGACAGGAUAUUUCUGACAGGACACCACAUUCGGCUGUUUUAUUGUCAGAUGGUCACCUCUCUAAUUUGGGGGUUGAAAAUGAUGGUCUUGGCUGUGGCACUUUGCCAGCACAGGCAGUUCCUCUGAUGUCUCUGAAGUCCCCAAGAGAAAGAGAGAGAGAGAUUCUAUGGAUGGAGAGAGAUCAGGGGAAGGUUAAUGAAGGAGGGCGAAGUUGUGUUUGCUUAGACCUUUGCGACGGAGACGGAGGAGGGGGGCAAAGGAGAUCUUUCACGGAGAACCGCUCACACGUCCCUCGGUUUUACUCGAAGUACUGCACAAACAGGCUCCAAAUGACAAGGUGACACUAGGAAUACACUACUACGUGACCGCCGCUGGAAUUGCCUUCAUCCGUUUAAGAUGACUGCAGCCACUGUGGACACUGUCGCGCCAUUAGAGAGAUCUGGAGAAUAAGCCACGGAUAUAGCAGAGAUUAUCAUGGCCUGUGUGUUCAAAGACCUCCCAAGGGCACAAUGACAAGCCACACCACUGAGACUACAACAGGAAGAAAUCUGAUGAUGUAUUAUUAAACUGCUCAUUGUUACGUUACUGCUGUUUCUAAAUUGUGCAACAUUUAAAGGUGCAGCUCACACAAAAAUGAAACUUCCUGUCAUCAUUUACUCAC
ensembl:lncRNA